AGGCCAGUGUGACCCGCGAGAACAAUACCAGAGUCAUAAGGCCAGGAAAGCUUUUUUUUAAUAUUUUAUUUAUUUGACAGAGAGACACAGCGAGAGAAGGAAUACAAGCAGGGGGAGUGGGAGAGGGAGAAGCAGGCUUCCCGCGGAGCAGGGGGCCCGAUGUGGGGCUCGAUCCCAGGCCUCCAGGAUAAUGACCUUAGCCGAAGGCAGACGCUUAAGGACUGAGCCACUCAGGCGCCCCGCCCAGGAAAGCUUAUUAAAAUGCGAGUUCUCAGGCCGCCUGGGUGGCUCAGUCGGUUCAGCCUCUGCCUUGGGCUGGGGUCGUGGUCCCGACGUCCCGGGAUUGAGUCCCGAGAGGGGCUCCCUGCUCGGUAGGGAGUCUGCUUCUCCCUCUCUCUCUGCCCGUCCCUUUUGUUCUCUCUCAAAUAAAUAAAAUGCCAAUUCUCGGGGGGUGGGGGGGGGCUGCUUGGCUCGGGUCAUAAUCCCAGGGUCCUGGGUUGGAGCCCCGUGGGGCUACCCUGGUCAGUGAGAGUCUGCUUCUCCCUCUCCUUCUGCCCUUCCCGCCCAAGGCCCACCCCUCCCCACCCCCGCUUGUGCUCGUGCUUUCCCGCUCUUAUAAAUGAAAUCUUAAAAAAAAAAAAUGUGAAUUCUCCAGCUCAUGCGAGAUGCGGUGCGUCAGGGUUAUCGGGGAGGGGCCCCCAAAUCUGAAGUUUUACCAGGGCCUCCCAAGAAAUUCUUCCUGCACUGAGAGGCUGGAGAAUCGGUGACCCAGGAAUAAAAGAGUUAAAGGAGGCCCCCAGCACUCGGGUUACUCUGGGGCGGAUGGAAGAGAAGCCCUUGCUGGGAUCAGGAACCGGGGACGUCCCACCCAAGCCCCUGGGCUCUGGAAGCGCUGAAGACCGGAAACGGGAACGCUUCCAAGGCUGCAGGAGGCCCCUAGGAGGCCAAGGAAGCGGCGGUCCCUCCCACGUCAGCAUGCUCUCGGGCCCAGACGGCGGGGCGCGUGCGUCGGAGCCUGCCGGGAAAUGUAGUCCUCAGGGCGGCCGCGCGCCUGCGUCCUGCGCAGCUGCCCCGGGGAGCCUGGGAAAGCCGUGGGCGCCGAGGCGGAAGUGAGUCCAUGGUUUUCAUCAGCUUCUCAUAACUACCAACAAAAUUAGGAUCUGCUGCUUUAUGGCUUUGGCAGAAAGCAAGCAAGUUAAGGGAGCUGAGUAUGGCCUCUGGUAACCACUGCUGUUCCUUCUUUCUCAUUUUGUCUUGUCCUCAGCAGUGGGUGGCUCCUCAUGAUGACCGCCUAAUGCUGUUUACUUCUUCAUAGCAGGCUAGGACCGUUAACCCAAAGCCCACUGAUGUCAAACUGAAACUCUCAUACAUUCAGUUGUUUUAAAUAGUCCCAAAAACAAAUUUUCAAAGCCAUUUGGAGCCUACCUAUCUACAUACUCCAUAAAACCUCACCCAUCAUCUGCAAACCGCAGGUAAGUCAAAUACUGGGGUACAUAAACGACCCCAGACUGCUGCUACCCUUUGGAACUGUCUGACCUGGGGGCUCCCCACCAAGCUGCUCAGUGUCAUUACCUAAACACAAACAUUUCCUCUCUCAUUCCCCCUUCUUCCCUGCCAAUAUCCUUGCCCUAUUCCCCAUCUGGGGGCUGGCGCCCAUGCCUCUGUCUCUGGAAGGUCUCUUGCGGGGAGGGAGUUCCCCUCUCAGACAACCCUGACCUUGUGCUGCCCAAACAAAGCUUGUUACUGCCUCUCAUGGUCCUGUGUCUUCCUCGAUCACCACCCCUCCAGUCCCUGAACUCACCACGAAUCCUUUUAAGAGAGAGACAGGAGGAGCAGAGUUAGUAGUGGGAGAUAUUACUAUGGAAGCCAGUAGGUGGUGUGAUGCCAGGAAGGGGUCAUGAAGCCAAGAAUGUAGGCAGCCUCCAGAAACUGAAAGAGGCAAGGAAAUGGAUUCUUGCCUGAAGCCUCCAGAAGGAAUGUCACCCUCUAACAACUUGAGUUUAGAUUUCUCACCUCCAGAAGGCUAAGAGGGGAAAAAAAAGUUAUUAUUUUAAGCCACUAAGUUUGUGAUAAUUUGUUACAGCAGCAAUAGGAAACUAACAUAACUUGUAUAUGUCUACCUGUAAAUAUUUCUACAUCUAUCCAUCUGUGUCUGCUAAGAUAAAUAUGACUUCUUACCCGCAUCUCCAGCUCUGAUCCAUUACCACGUGGGUCAUUCUAGCCUUCCCUUCUUGCUUAACUAUAACUGCACUCACCAACAGUGGCUCCCACCAUCCGGCAUCCAUAAACUGAAUUUGUUCAACCAGUACACAUGUAAGGCAGUUUCAGAAAUGUUCAGCCAGGGGCACCUGUGUGGCUCAGUCGUUAAGCGUCUGCCUUCGGCUCAGAUCAUGAUCUCAGGGUCCUGGGAUCGAGCCCCGCAUCGGGCUCCCUGCUCGGCCAGGAGCCUGCUUCUCCCUCUCCCACUCCCCCUGCCUGUGUUCCUGCUCUCGCUAUCUCUGUGUGUGUGUGUCAAAUAAAAUAAAAUCAAAUCAAAAAAGAUUUUAUUUAUCCAUUCAUGAGAGACAGAGAGGUGCAUAGGCAGAGGGAGAAGCAGGCUCCCCGCGGAGCAGGGAGCCCGAUGCAGGACUCGAUCCCCAGGAUCCUGGGAUCAUGACCUGAGCCAAAGGCAGACGCUUAACCGACUGAGCCACCCAGGCGUCCCAAUAAAUAAAAUCUUUAAAAAAAAAAAAUGUUCAGCUAUACGCCCGUGAGAAUUUGCCACCCUGAGGACAGUGCUUUGUCUUUAGCUUGGCUCCCCACAUUUAUUUUUUAUUCAUCCCCCAACUUUUAAGUUUUGAAAUAUUUUAUUUUAAGAUUUUAUUUAUUUAUUUGACACACAGGGAGAGAGCCCAAGCAGAGGGAGAAGCAGGCUCCCUGCUGAGCAAGGAGCCCUAUGCGGGACUCGAUCCCAGGACCCUGAGCUGGGAUCAUGACCUGGGCCAAAGGCAGACGCUUCACCAACUGAGCCACCCAGGUGUCCCAAGUUUUGAAAUAUUUUAAAUAUAUGGAAAAUUUGCUCUCUUCUUGGCAAGCUUAGUGCUGUGGAUGCUGCUUCUCUCCCUGUUCUGCUCAUUGCCUCUGGAUUUUGGUCCCCUUCCCCUCAGGAGCUCCCCCAGUAGAUGCUUGGCAGGGUUUUAGACCUGCUUGACCCACACCCCUACCCGGUUGCCUCACCCAAGCCCUUAGCCUUCCCAGAUCUGCCUGAUUCCACUCCUGGUGGCUUUGUGGCUCCUGUCACAUCCCUCUUCAACCUCCAGUCUCUCCCAGGAGCUUGUCCCCAGGGACACACACCUGUAUAAUUGUAUGCAGUGGCACUGGAGAGAAAAGGUUCCGUGUUGAGAGACUUGGAAGGGAAGGGGAGACUAUCAGGACAGCAAACAUGAACAGAGAUUCAAGACAGGUUGGAAAUCCCAGAGCAGAAUGUCACCUGUCCCACAUUCUACCUGGAGCUCUGGGAGGGAGACGUCCUGUCAGUGCCCCACACCAACAGAAGGAGGCAAAAGGAGGUCAGAAAUGCCAGCCUGGCACUUAGCAGAGUGGCCCUGAGAUGAUGCUCAUUUGUAGCAUGAGCGAGUCCCCGCUGCAGGUCUCAGAAAGUCUCUGUAGAGAUGUUAAGAAGAGUCUUGGUCAGGGUGCCUGGGUGGCUCAGUCGUUAAGCGUCUGCCUUGGGCUCAGGUCAUGAUCCCGGGGUCCUGGGAAUCGAGCCCCGCAUCGGGCUCCCUGCUCCGCGGGAAGCCUGCUUCUCCCUCUCCCACUCCCCCUGCUUGUGUUCCCUCUCUCGCUGUGUCUCUCUCUCUGUCCAAAUAAAUAAAUAAAAUCUUUUUUUUAAGAUUUUAUUUAUUUAUUCAUAAGAGACAGAGAGAGAGAGAGAGGCAGAGGGAGAAGCAGGCUCCCUGCUGAGCAGGGAGCCCGAUGCGGGACUCGAUCCCAGGACCCUGGGAUCAUGACCUGAGCUGAAGGCAGACGCUUAACCAUCUGAGCCACCCAGGCACCCAAUAAAUAAAAACUUAAAAAAAAAAAAAAAAAAGAGUCUUGGUCGGCCAGAAGAGGCCCGGGAUAGGGAGGAAGAAGGCCCAAGUUGUGCAACUCCCCUUAUUGGGAGCCACACCAGCAUCUGAUGUGGCCAUGCCCACAGCCAGCCAGAAUCAGUAAUACAACGGCCAACGUUCAAACACCGAGGAGGAGGAGGGACCAAAGGGGACAGGUCGGUCCUUUUUUUCUUCGAUCAUUCCGUGUAAGCUCUCUCUGUAUCCAGAUACCUUCUUGGGGAGGAAGAGGAGUAUGAGUCGGAGGGAGUGGAGGAGAGGAAUGGGGAAGGGGAAAGAAGAGGAAGAGGAAAAGUAGGAGGAGAGACAGAGGAGUAAAGAAGCCUUCUUGGAGGGGCGCCUGGGUGGCUCAGUUGGUUAAGCAUCUGCUUUCGGCUCAGGUCAUGAUCUCAGGGUUCUGGGAUCAGAUGAGUCCGGAGUAGAGUCGGGCUCCGCUUGGCGGGGAGUCUGCUUCUCCCUCUGCCUCUGUCCCUCCCCCCGCUUGGGCACACGAGCACGCGCUCUCUCAAAUACAUAAAUAAAAUCUUUUUUUAAAAAAAAGAAGACUUCUUGGAGACUUCAGUACUGAUGGACAUUGUGCAUUACCCAUUGAAGGAGAUAGCACGGUGUAGAGUUCCCCAGACAUCCUGCUCAAGGGAUUACUUUGUUUAUAGAACACGUACUCAUAUCUCAUAACGCUAGUCCUCCCUGAAAGACUUUGGGAACUAUGGCUCUAUAAUUUAAAUUUGUGACCAGUGCAUAUGGGCCCAUGACACAGAUGGGAGGUGAUGGGGAUCCCUAACAGAUACGCAGUGAGACGCUAAAGAGACUUCCCCCUCUCAAAGCUGCUUUGAGCGCCCCUGGGGUGGUCAUGGUCUGAAGCCCUUCUUGGGUUUUGUCUCAGAGGGUCAUGCCCCAUUUAAGGAAAGUUCUUUCCAAGCUCCCAGAGUCUGUCUUACUGUAAACAGGGAUUUUACUGGAUCUUUUUUAAAGGGAACAACUCUACUAAAGUUAAUUCAGAGGGCAAGCAGCUGGGGUCCUCCAGGUCACUAGGGGUCCCCAGUCAUUUUCAUGAUGCCCCCAAAGUGCAGCCUGAAGUUCUGAUAGCUCCAAGGCAUCUUGCCAGUAGUCAAUGACUGGGGAAAGAACGAGAAACAGUGGAGCCGGGCAUUGAAAGCCUAAUCCAAACCACAGCCAAGAUCCACAGCUGGACUCCCGCCAACCUGGAGAAGGCCUUCUGUGGCCACCGGAGACCGUGUUGGCGAUGAACUAGAGUCACCCAGAGCAGCAUUUCUGAGAACCCCUGGGGCAAGAGGCGCACAUGACGAGGAUGUUGUGUUGGGUGUGAUCCUGGAUGAGCAUAGUGGGAAGGAGGAGCAGCCUGAGGGGCGGCCCAUUCCUUAACACAGAGAGGGUACUAAUGGGGAUAUUUAUAAAUACAGUUGCAGCUGCCGUGGGAGACCGGGAGGGGAGGUGCGUUGCACUCCGCAUGCUGAGGGUCCCCUCCCGCAGGACCGGAGACGUUGCAGCUGGGGCCCCCCCGACUGGGCGGCAAGAACUGAGCCGCUCACGCCCGCAGCCCAAGAUCCUUAUGAAAUCCCAGGGAGAGACCCACGUCCCAUUGCCUGGCAGCACAUAUCUAUAGGCAGAACAGACAACAAAAGUCUUGCUCUCUUCUCCCUGGGGAGAAGAUUUUAAUGUCUACAACGCAAACAUUCCUUAGACAUCUGUAAACUUCUCUCAAAAUUUUCUGGGACUGGGGCUCCUAAAACCAGAUUUCAAUUAUAAAUGCUAAUUGGUUAAACUUUUUUUUUUUUAAGAUUUUAUUUACUUAUUUGUGUGUGUGUGUGUGUGUGUGAGAAGGAGAGAGAGAGGGAGAGAGCACAAGCAGGGGGAGCGGCAGGCAGAGGGAGAAGCAGGCUCCCCGCUGAGCACGGAGCCCCAUGUGGGGCUCAAUCCCAGGACCCUGAGAUCAUGACCUGAGCUGAAGGCAGACGCUUAACCUACUGAGCCACCCAGGCGUCCCUAAUUGGUUAAACAUUUAAUACGUGAUCAGGGCACCUGGGUGGGUCAGUCACUUAAGUGUCCGACUCUUGAUUUUGGCUCUGGUCAUGAUCUCCGGGUCGUGGGACUGAGCCCUGAGUCCUGCUCUGCGCUCAGCGGGGAGCCUGCUUGGGGUUCUCUCUCUCUCUGAAAUAAAUGAAUCUUUAAAAAAAAAAA